UCCGGGCCGGGCCGGCCGGGGCGCAGCCGGGCCCUGGCGGUCUUUGGGCCUUCGCCCCCCAGGUCUCCGGCUGUGGGACCUGUUGGGGUCGCCCCCUCUCGCGGCGUUUUGACUGUCAUCCAGGGUUCGCUUGGGGUGAUACCCAGACGCUCACCGAGCGCCUGCUGCGCCGCAGGUCCUGUUGAAGGUGUGGGGUACGGCGACGAGCAAACAGGUGCCGUCCUUCGGAGCUCACGCAGUGGAGGGGAGGACAGUCAAAGAAUGGACAGAUGGAUGCACGAAGGGCAAGAAAGCGAUUAAAAUGCCCUGGCAGUUAAAUAAGCUUAAAUGUCCCAAUUCCCAUUCCUAGGAAAUAUGUACUGUAGCUCUCCCCCCUCUGGUUUUCCUCUAGUCUUUUUGCUCGCUCCUGUGGUAGGCAGACCUUUUACCCAAGGUGGGGAUAAUAGCCAGACUCACAGUUACUAAGUACUCUCUCAAGUGGUUUGAUUUGGGUUUGACAUGGCGCCCCGACCUUGCCCACAGACCUUUCUGGGGCUGGUCGAGGUUUCCAAGGUCUAUGGUGCUUUUGCAAAAGUGGCCAUUCUUUCACGGGGCACAGCAGACUGUGGCACUGCAGGCUCAGAGGUAGGCUUCAAAUACAACCACUCGGGUCUCCUCAGGGAGCUUACAGUUUGCUAGAGGGACAGAAGGUGUUUAAACAUUUAUUUUUCUCAUGAUUCUAGAGUCAAAUCCGAGACCUCCCUCUUGUAGAAUCACACCAACAAAGAUACACACUCUAGGGGCUACAAAAAGAAAUACUAGUGUGUGCAUCUGAGGGGAGAAAGUUACUGUCUGAUAAACAGAGCUGGGCGGUCCCUUGGAGUCUUGAAGAAAUAGUUGAAGAAUGAAUAAAAGCAAAAUCAAAAGGAGGCCAACAGAGGUAUAAAUCAGGAAAAGAGGCUGGAGAACAGGCUAGGUUUAUCAAUACUGUUUAGAAUACUGUGUGUUAGUUUAUAGGAGUGUUAUAGCACAUUGCCAAACGUUUCAUGGCUCAGAACAGAAAUUUAUUCGCUUAGAGUUCUGGAGGCCAGAUGUCAGAAACCAAAGGUGUCCACAAGGCCAUAUUCACCCCGGACGCUCCAAAAGAGAAGUCCGCCCCCCCCCCCAUGGCCCUAAGCAUUCCUUGGCUGUGGCUACAUAACUCAUUCCACCUUUAUCUUCAUAUUUUCUUCUUUCUGUUUCUCCUCUGUGUCUCAUAAGCACACUUGUCUUUGGAUUUGAUACCUUCUGGUUAAUCCAAAAGUAAUAUCAUCCUGAAAUCCAUAAAUACACCUGCAAAGACCUUUUGUUCAAGGCCAGGAGUUUUGACUUUUUUUUUUUGAGGUCUCCAGUAACCCAUUAUACUGAUUUUGCAAAGGAACAGAACUUAACCUUGUGGAUAGUCAGAAUUAGACUAUGGAUUGUUAAAUAGAUUAGAAGCACUAUACACUGAUUUUUACUUUAUUUAUUUAUUUUUUUAAGGUACUGGGGAUUGAACCCACAGCCUUUACAUUGAACUAUGUCUCAAGCCCUUUGAGGCUGGGUCUCAGAAAGAUGUUGUGUUGCCCAGGUUGGGCUCAAACUUGCAAUCCUGCCUCAUCCUCCCAGAGUGCUGCUAUUACAGGUGGUGCUAGCUGUCCUCUGGAGAGAGCUGCCCUGGCCCAUCCUUAAAGGGUUACGGAGUGCUGUGGAUCAGAUUGCUCAGGAAGGUAUUGUGAAUAUUUUUUUCUUUAAUUUUAUUUAAGGAAAAAAAAAAAAAAAAGAAAAAAAAAAAAAGAAAAA